UGCGCAUUCUGCAGAGACCCACCAUCAGGGCCAGCCUGGCCUCAUCUCUCCCAGCCCCCCUGAGGACCCGGGCCAGGACUGAGCGGCUGGGGGCGACGGGUGAGGAGCGAGGCCCUGCCCUGGAGAAGGAGCACACAAGGCCUCAGCCCCUCCUCGGCCAGGCCUUGCUCUCAGGACAGCAGAGGGGCACAGGCAGCAGAGGUCCCCAGCCUCCAGCCUUGAUCAUGGAUGACUACCACAUCAGUGAUUCCUCAGCACUGAGAAAGCCAUGUGAGAACAGCCACAGUGGGGCCAAACCAGCUUACCGACAAUGUCAGGCGUGUGGCUGAUGUCUGCGGUGAGAGCAGCAGCCUCCACCACGAUGUGGGCCACGGUGAUGGGCUCCUCUGAGCCUGCUGCCACUGGCUCCACCUGCCAUUGGGGGACAGAGGACAGAGGAGACUUGUCUCGGGGCUCCAGAGCUCGGGUUUAUGUCUAAGCGGGAUGGCUGGGGUGGGGGCUCUCGUCUCCUUCAACGGACCAUUGCUUUGAGCCUGACUCCCAGCCUGAACCUCUCACCCCAGGCCCAGGGGUCAGCCCCAUCACUCUAAUGCCUCCGGCCACCACGGGGCCCCUGAGGAGCCCUAAGCACACUCAAGAAGGACUCCAGGAUGAAGUGACUGGAAGCUCCAGCUUGACGCUCAGCUGGCUCUGCAGAGAUGAAGGUGAGCACCUCCGCCUACCAGCUCAGCCAGGGAUCAGGGGAAAAGGCCCUCAGGGAUGUGGGCCUGGGGGCCUUCCUGGAGGAGAGGACAGCACUGGGAGGGGCAGGAAAAGAGCACCAGGUCAGAGUGAGACAACUUUGGGCCCCCUAUGCUCUGGGCCAUUCCCAGGGGUGGCCUGAGGCACCUGACUUCUCGUGGAGUCUCCUUUCCCACUUCCAUAGGACGAGGAUGACGAGAGUGCCCAGCCCACAGAGGUGCCAUGGACCUCAGUAAGACUGUAUGCAUAAAGCCCAAGUACACAUGGGGUGCAACAAGUUGGCUGUUUUUAUGACAGAGAGCUGGGACCCACAGAGCCACGCUUCAUUUGUGGGAUCCCCAGGAACCACAUGUACAGGACAGGAGACAAGACAAAAGGACAAAAGCCACCAUGAUAUCCCUGAGCCAGAACAGGCCCUCAGGCUUCAAGAAAGGAGGGACCCCAGGCCCCAACUUGCAGGCUUCAGCCAGAGGCUACUGAGCAGCCCAGCAGCCCAGGCCAUCCAGGAAAGCCCAGAGCACCGCCAGGAGCUCCCCCACCCAUGACCGGAUGCCUGCCCUCUGCCUGCCCCUGUGUCACAGGGACCAAGCUGCACAGGUCUGUCUCGACAUGCCACCACCUCCUCCUCCUGCUGUCACGUGAGGGGCGGGGGGGGGGGGGCCAUGUGUGCACACACACACGUGCAAUGGCAGUGGAGAGGGGCUCACCUCCUGACCAAGCAGCGCAGCAGCAGGGGUGGCAGGCAGGGCCUCCUGGGGUACCCGCUGGCAGACUUUCUGGAGCUUGUGCUGAACAAAGUCCUCCAAGGCGGUGAACUCUGCCUGGCAGCGGCCACAUCUGUGCACGUCAUCCUCAUCUGCAACAAGCCUGCGGUCAGUGGGGCUUGGGAGGGAUUCCAGCCCCAGGCAGACCUACACAAGAGUGGCAUCAGAACCAGAGGCGCCUUCCCCAGCCCUCCCAAAGCAGCUGAGAACACUCUCGGGUGCCCAGGGUGCCAGGCCCCUUCUCUGGAGGUCUGCGACAGUGCGCAUCCCAGGGAGAGCAGCCUCCAGCAGGGGUGACUCUGACCAUACACUUAGGCUGCAAGCAUCCAAAUCUCCUACUUCAGAGAUGAGCGGAGAGAGGCCCAGGGAGCAGCUGGGAGGCAGAGGGAUCCAGCCAAGCUGGUUGGGGACAGUGGAGGACCAGGGUUCAAGACUUGGGGUUUGCAUGUGCCCCUGGGCACCACAGUGGCCAUGGCUGGGUCUGUUUCUUCAUCUGUAGCAUGGGCCAACUCAGUGUGUGUGUAUAGGCUCUAGCAAGAAUCCAGCCCUCAGCAAACAUGAGAGAGGUGGGGCAUCCUGACCCAUGACCACUCUUCUCACUCUGACUUGGUGCUUCACUGGUUCUAAACAGGCAGCAACUCCCUACUCUGGUGAAGAUGCCCAGGGUGGGACUUCCCAGAGGGGCUCCACACCCCAGGGCCAUGGGCCUUCACACCCAAGCCCCUCACCACAUGGACUGACCAGCCAGUGCCUGCCCCCAGGUCCUGCAGAAGAGACUUCCAGCUCACUGAGUCCCCUGCUGUGUGCCAGGCAACUUACUGGGGACAUCACCAAAUCUGGCCAACACCCUAAGGAAAUGGAAGUGACUAUUCCUGCUCUAGAAAAAUGUGAGAUUCAGUGCCACCCAGCUGGUGAGUGUUGGGGCCAGAACCUGAAUUUGAGGGUCUAGCCCAGACUCCCUGCUGUUUGCACCAAGGGAUGGGGAGAUGUUCCUUUUUCUUUCGUAAAAGUCUGCCAGUUCCCACCAGCUUACGUGCAGUCCCACAUCAAGGUCAAACCCAGGCCUGGAGCACAGAAGGAGCCCAGUUGAUGUUUACUGGAUUAAUGAGCAAAGGGCCAAACCACAGCUAAGACUCGCCCACAGAAGAACACCUGACAGAGGGCGGUCCCCUCCAGAUGGCUCAUAGUCACAAGCCAAGCGCCGAGGUGCCUGCCACCCACCUAACCCACCCAGCCCACUCACCGAGUCUGACUCGGCAUCACCAUGUUGCCAUUGAAGGAAUCCCCACCACAGAAGGGGACACACCCAGCCCCCGUAACAAUGAGAUAAGGCCAUGGGCAAACCCAGCAGGGCACAGCAACCUCCAAAGAGAUCCCUCUGCAGGUGGCACUACCCCCAGUGGUACUGCCCCUACCCAAGCUGGAAUAAGAAUGAGCAAGAAAAGAUGUCCUGAUAAUACAAAUCCUGUGGGGACAAAGACCACCACCCCAAUAUCACCAGCCAAUCCCCUCCUGCCUGACUCAGUCUAAAGCUCCGGGGACAAGCUCAGAGGGUAAAGACCAGAAUUCUGUCUCCAAAAGCUAUCAGUGCCCCUGUGAAUGAGGCCUCAGUGUGUCCCCAGAACUGUUCUCAGAGAUUCACAUACAUGCUCUGUUUUGAUUCUCACCACCAUCCUAUGAGGCAGCAGAACCCAGAAGUUAAAGGAGUGGGUUAACAAGUCACACAAUCCUGGCAACCAAUCAGUCCUUGGUACUUCCUAGCUGGGUAACCUGGUCAUUUUCGCAUGUCUGAACCUCAAUUUUCCCCAUCCACAAAAUGGGGGGAAUAAUAAUAGUAGCAAUAAUAAUAAUAAUAAUAAUAAUAAUAGCAUCUAGGGUUGGCUUGGGAAUGAAAAAGGCUGAUGUGUAGUAAGUGCUCCAUACGUUAUCCUCAACAGUAGCAUCCCCAUUCUGUAAGGGGAAAUGGAGGGUCAGAGAGGUACGUGGUUACCUGCCCAGAAUCAAAUAGCUAGAAAGUGGCAGGUCUGGGACAGACCUCGCUGCAGCUUGCCAGCACUGGGGCUCUGCUCCCUCCCCAGGGGUGCGGAGAGACCCGUGGUCCCGCCCUCCCGGAGCCUCCAGCCACACCCCGGCCACGGCCUUAGUGGCCCUUCAGGUGAAGUGGGAGGGGGCGCGGAGGAGGGCAGGAACCUGCCGAGACUGGGAGGCAGAGAGGGGCCGGGCCGCGGGCCUGAGGGCAGGGUAGGCGGUGGAGGCGAUCGCGGAGGUCUACACGGACAGCCCCGUUGGCUUCGUUACCAGUACCGGCUGUCUAGUCCGAGCCGUGGAGAUGGCCGCCCAGCGCCAAGCCGACAUCAUAGGGAAGCCCAGCCGCUUCAUCUUCGACUGCGUGUCCCAGGAGUACGGCAUCAACCCGGAGCGCACCAUCAUGAUUGGU